rnacentral:rRNA from 1 species
AGCGAACGCUGGCGGCAGGCUUAACACAUGCAAGUCGAGCGGGCAUCCUUGUGGUGUCAGCGGCAGACGGGUGAGUAACGCGUGGGAACGUGCCCUUCGGUUCGGAAUAACUCAGGGAAACUUGAGCUAAUACCGGAUACGUGCGAGAGCAGAAAGGUUUAUCUGCCGAAGGAUCGGCCCGCGUCUGAUUAGCUAGUUGGUGAGGUUAUGGCUCACCAAGGCGACGAUCAGUAGCUGGUCUGAGAGGAUGAUCAGCCACACUGGGACUGAGGCACGGCCCAGACUCCUACGGGAGGCAGCAGUGGGGAAUAUUGGACAAUGGGGGCAACCCUGAUCCAGCCAUGCCGCGUGAGUGAUGACGGCCUUAGGGUUGUAAAGCUCUUUUCUUCGGGACGAUAAUGACGGUACCGGAGGAAUAAGCCCCGGCUAACUUCGUG